GGGUCCAGAUGUUUGUUGGUGUCUGAGGGUCCAGAUGUUUGUUGGUGUCUGAGGGUCCAGAUGUUUGUUGGUGUCUGAGGGUCCAGAUGUUUGUUGGUGUCUGAGGGUCCAGAUGUUUGUUGGUGUCUGAGGGCCCAGAUGUUUGUUGGUGUCUGAGGGUCCAGAUGUUUGUUGGUGUCUGAGGGUCCAGAUGUUUGUUGGUGUCUGAGGGUCCAGAUGUUUGUUGGUGUCUGAGGGUCCAGAUGUUUAUCAUCUAAAGGUCCAGAUGUUUGUUGGUGUCUGAGGGUCCAGAUGUUUAUCAUCUAAAGGUCCAGAUGUUUGUUGGUGUCUGACGGUCCAGAUGUUUAUCAUCAAAAAGUCCAG